rnacentral:misc_RNA from 1 species
UUUCCGUAGGUGAACCUGCGGAAGGAUCAUUACAGAGUUCAUGCCCUCACGGGUAGAUCUCCCACCCUUGAAUAUUUAUACCUUAGUUGCUUUGGCAGGCCGUGGAAACACCAUGGGCUCCGGCUUAUGUGUGCCUGCCAGAGGAAACAAACUCUGUUUUUAGUGAUGUCUGAGUACUAUAUAAUAGUUAAAACUUUCAACAACGGAUCUCUUGGUUCCG